GUCCCUCUGGGGGAUAUCCGACAAAAUUGGAAUGAUGCAGAGAAGAACAGCAUGGCCCUUGCGCGAAGCAUGAAACGCACAAAUCGAGAAAUUAUCCCAGAAAACUAUU
rnacentral:snRNA from 1 species